GUGCGGCCGGUACCGUCAGUGACGGAAGGACUCUGUGGCCCUGCGGCAGCGAUGGCUCGGCGUGUCGUGAAAGGCCUGCUGGUGCUGGAGGCGGCGGGGCUGCUCGGCGCUCUCCUGCUCUACCGCGCCAUGGACCGCAGCCAAGACUUCAGAUACACAAUGCAGAAGAAGUUCCCAUCAAUUCUGGAAGUGUAUUACAAAUCCAAUGAGUGGUCUGGAAUUCACGGCAUAAGGGAGAAUGACCAAAUGGCAUGGUUAAGCAGCAAGAACUGAAGUAAGAAAGCCCUUUGUGCCUGAACUGUUUCUUCCUUUUUAUGAUGCUUUUCACAUCCCGGUCAUGAAGCCAUUUGUCGCGCUCUAUUUCCCAUUGGAUCUGUUUAAUAUCUGUAAGAGGAAAGGUGACGAGGAGUGAACAGCUAUCUCUGAUAAUGAUGUAAAAUACAGAUGAAACAUGUAACAGUUAAAACUUGGCUGCUGUAUUUAUGAAUGUCAAUAAAGUGCAAGCUGCCUUUUUGUUUUUGACACCAGAGAAAGUUUUGGGGUUUUCAUUUCACAGAACAUACCCCACCUUCUCAGCACCUCAUAGUUUAAGACCACUCUUGCCAUUGCUUUGUAUUUUACUAAUGCUAGAUAUGCUUAUGUUAAGAGUACACAGUGUUUGAGUGCUGCUGUUCACAUUUUUCAGGUGACACCAGCAAGACUUGUAAAAGCUCUAGAGAGGACUGAUUAUUCACUCAGUAUAUGCACAUUUAAUUCAUUAGAAUUAUUUCUGGGGAACUACUUUUGCUUCACCGAUACUGCAAGGAAAUAACCCAGUAGGUAUAUAAAUGGCCAUGUCAUAUGCCUUCCUUUUACAGGAAUCCAGGACACUUUAUCAGAGCAAAAUUCACACAAAUGCUUGACAGACAGCAUGCUGCCCAUCCUUAUUUACAGUGUGAAAGGGCCACAUGAUAGCCUCUUCAUCUUUUCUGAAGCCUUGCUCUCUCCAGUAGACACAGUUAACAUUAGCACUGGGCUAGUAACUGACUGUCAUGUCUUAUUGACAGUGACCUACUGUCCCUAUGUGUGACUUCUGACCACAUGUGAAUUUCAGUUAGAGAAGGUACAUCUUAUUAACUACAGAACCAGAAGAGAGAGAAGUGAAACAGCAUUACACCUUUCUGCUGUUUGUACCAUGUACUUACUUGCAUUAUCUCUGUUGGCCAUGGCGUUCAUUCCAAUAUUAUCAAACUUAGACCCAACAUUUUCAUCCAGCAGAGAGCCAAACUUUAAAGAGAGAAAUUUUAGUAUUUUAUUACAAAGAACCAGGUAAAAUGCUUGAUCACUUUUUGCUAAGUACUGAUCAAACUUACCUCCUCUGCAGAUGCCAGUAUCUUGGCAUCUUGGAGUUUUCUCUUCUUUCCUCGAUUGGAUCCUUCAAACAAAAAGCAUUAUUCUUAUAAGACAGAAUUUCAGCUUCAGAAAGACACUAAACCAAAGUGUUACCAUGUGGUUGGGUUUUGGUGAGGUUUUUAACAUGUUUUUGAGACCAUCUAAAAUAGCUGUUAGAAAUGUUUAUUCUUCACCUCCCCCCCACCCCCCCCAAAAAAUGGAACGAGCACUUUCCAACCAAGAACUAAUAGCACAAAUCAGACGUUAGGAACAGAUGCACAAACUGCGAGUACAACUCCAAUUUUCCUUUGAAAGUUCCUUCUUUGAGUCCCAGUUCCUGCUUUGAGUCCCAACAUCAGAUUGUUACUCUGAAUUCGGCAAUGGUGGUUGAAGGACAACCUCCUUUUAAUUCAUGGUUUAUUCAUCCAAAGGCAUAGAUAAUCUGAUGUACCAAAACCCAAAGCUCUUCAGACUGUAUUUGUAUUAAGCUUUCUCACAUGGAAAUCAUGGCAGUGUUCCCUUACCUUCUAGUGAUCCCGCAAAAUUCGUAUCUUUCUUUCUCUUGCCCUUUUUAUUGACAGACUUCAAUUGUUUGUUAUUGUUUGCAUCUGACAGAAAAGAAAAAGAUACAUCAAAUCUUCAUUCUCACAUCAUGUACGUAUAUUUAAAGCACGGCAGAUACUAAAAUUUCAUUUUAGGCAUUUUUUGGUUUAUAACGGUCCAAGUCAUUACUUUAAAAAAGUUUAAAACACAGCACAAACAACCAAAUCUGGGAUUUCUUCAACCCAGACAAUUAAAAAUUGGUCAGUGGUGCACCAUUCUUUAUGCUUUUUUCCACAGCACCAAAAAGGAAUGAAAUACGAAUCUAAGAUACAUAAAAUAUGAAGGCUAAAAGCAGGUGUUACAUACACCUCAAAUGUCUGCUUGAUGCCAAAUUCCCACUCACACUUGGGAGACUGCUCCAGGCAAUGUGUCUCUCAAGACUUCAUUGUCCAGAGAAGGUCUUGUCACUUCUCUACUUAAAAGCCAAACCUCCCACUUAGGUAACUGAAUCUGAAUUUAUAUAUGUAAUUACAUAUUAGAUAACCUAGUUUUAAAGCUCUUUUUUUUCUUUUUUUU